rnacentral:lncRNA from 1 species
CAGGAUUUGGCCCAGCUCAUGAAUUCAAGCGGCUCUCACAAAGAUCUGGCGGGCAAUGGUGAACGAGAACGUCAGCCUUGUGAUCUCACGGCAACUGCUAACAGAUUUCUGCACACACCUCCCCAACCUGCCAGACAGCACAGCCAAGGAGGUCUACCAUUUCACCUUGGAGAAGGUCCAGCCUCGGGUCAUCUCCUUUGAGGAGCAGGUGGCUUCCAUACGACAGCGUCUUGCAUCUAUUUAUGAGAAGGAAGAAGACUGGAGAAACGCAGCCCAAGUGUUGGUGGGGAUUCCUCUGGAGACAGGACAAAAGUACAGCAAACACUGCACUUGAUGGACUUGGAUGAGUGUCACCAACAGGUUUCCUCAAAUCCUAACAGAGAGAUGCAGAUAAUUAUAGUGCACUAGAUGGUAGUAA